rnacentral:sRNA from 1 species
AUCUUUCUCUCUCUCUCUCUCUCUCUCUCUCUCUCUCUCUCUCUCUCCU